rnacentral:rRNA from 1 species
GACGAAGGGGGCUAGCGUUGUCCGGAAUCACUGGGCGUAAAGGGCGCGUAGGUGGCGACCCAAGUCGAUGGUGAAAGCUCGCCGCUCAACGGCGAGUCGGCCACCGAUACUGGGUUGCUGGAGCACUGUAGAGGCAGAUGGAAUUCCGGGUGUAGCGGUGGAAUGCGUAGAGAUCCGGAAGAACACCGGUGGCGAAGGCGGUCUGCUGGGCAGUUGCUGACACUGAGGCACGAAAGCGUGGGGAGCAAACAGGG